GACGAACGCUGGCGGCGUGCUUAACACAUGCAAGUCGAACGAAGUGGCGAACGGGUGAGUACCGCGUAAUCAACCUGCCCUUCAGAGGGGGACAACAGUUGGAAACGACUGCUAAUACCGCAUACUGCAGGAGGGGAUUGCGUCUGAUUAGCUAGUUGGAGGGGUAACGGCCCACCAAGGCGAUGAUCAGUAGCAGGUCGGAGAGGAUGAACGGCAAAAUUUGUACUGAGACACGGCCCAGAAUGCUACGGGAGGCAGCAGUGGGGAAUCGUUCGCAAUGGACGAAAGUCUGACGGAGCAACGCGGGGUGAGUGAUGACGGCAUUCGGGUGGUAAAGCUCUGUUAAUCGGGACGCGGUACCGGAAUAGAAAGCCACGGCUAACUACGUGCCAGCAGCCGCGGUAAUAC
rnacentral:rRNA from 1 species